UAAGUAAAAUUUCAUUAAUGUAAUGGUACUUUUACUCAAGUAGAAUAUUUUUGUACUCUUUCCACCUCUGCUCCCAACCCACGAUGAUGAGCUGUAAUGCUCCUUUCUGAGAGCGAAUUGAGGAUGGAACUGUGAUUUUGAUCACAUGUUCUGUCAUUGAUGAGCAUUCAUAUUGCUUUGGGCAAUGUUGAAGAAAGGAGUAUGAUCUGAGUGGU